rnacentral:hammerhead_ribozyme from 1 species
GAGCGAAACCGCCUCGAAAGGGGCGGUCGUCGGGGCGUGGUGGCCCUGGCCUGAUGAGCAGCCUGAC